UACGUAGGGAGCAAGCGUUGUCCGGAAUCAUUGGGCGUAAAGCGCGCGUAGGUGGCCUCGUAAGUCCGCUGUGAAAGUCAAAGGCUCAACCUUUGAAAGCCGGUGGAUACUGCGAGGCUAGAGUACGGAAGAGGCGAGUGGAAUUCCUGGUGUAGCGGUGGAAUGCGCAGAUAUCAGGAGGAACACCAAUAGCGAAGGCAGCUCGCUGGGACGUUACUGACACUGAGGCGCGAAAGCGUGGGGAGCGAACAGG
rnacentral:rRNA from 1 species